AUUGAACGCUGGCGGCAGGCCUAACACAUGCAAGUCGAGCGAGCGGCGGACGGGUGAGUAAUGUAUGGGGACUGCCCGAUGGAGGGGGAUAACUACUGGAAACGGUGGCUAAUCCCGCAUACUAUCGGAUAACCCAUAUGGGAUUAGCUAUUGGUGGGGGUAAAGGCUCACCUGGGCGACGAUCUCUAGCUGGUCUGAGAGGAUGAGGAGCCACACGGGGACGGAGACACGGCCCAGACUCCUACGGAGGCAGCAUUGGGGAAGAUUGCACAAUGGGCGCAAUCCGGAUGCAGCCAUGCCGCGUGUAGGAAGAAGGCCUUAGGGUUGUAAAGUACUUUCAGCGGGGAGGCGUUACCUGCAGAAGAAGCACCGGCUAACUACGUGCCAGCCGCCGCGGUAAUUC
rnacentral:rRNA from 1 species